CCUACGGGCGGCAGCAGUGAGGAAUAUUGGUCAAUGGGCGGAAUCCUGAACCAGCCAUGCCGCGUGCAGGACGACGGCUCUACGAGUUGUAAACUGCUUUUGUACCGGGGUAAAAUGCUCUACGAGUAGGGUUUUGAAAGUACGGUACGAAUAAGGAUCGGCUAACUCCGUGCCAGCAGCCGCGGUAAUACGGAGGAUCCGAGCGUUAUCCGGAUUUAUUGGGUUUAAAGGGUGCGUAGGUGGUUUUAUAAGUCAGCUGUGAAAUACCGAUGCUCAACAUCGGGGCUGCCGCUGAUACUGUAGGACUAGAGAUCGGAUGCAGCAGGCGGAAUGUGUAGUGUAGCGGUGAAAUGCAUAGAUAUUACACAGAACACCGAUUGCGAAGGCAGCUUGCUAGGCCGGAUCUGACACUGAUGCACGAAAGCGUGGGGAUCGAACAGGAUUAGAUACCCCGGUAGUC
rnacentral:rRNA from 1 species